UACAGAGGGUGCAAGCGUUAAUCGGAUUUACUGGGCGUAAAGCGCGCGUAGGCGGCUAAUUAAGUCAAAUGUGAAAUCCCCGAGCUUAACUUCGGAAAGGCAGUGGAAACUGAACAGCUAGAGUAUGGUAGGGGCAGAGGGAAUUCCUGGUGUAGCGGUGAAAUGCGCAGAUAUCAGGAAGAACACCCGUGGCGAAGGCGGCUCUCUGGGACGGUACUGACGCUGAGACGCGAAAGCGUGGGGAGCGAACAGG
rnacentral:rRNA from 1 species